UACAGAGGAGCCAAGCGUUGUCCGGAUUGACUGGGCGUAAAGCGCACGCAGGCGGUGGCGCGCGUGGGGUGUGAAAUCUGGCCGCUUAACGGCCAGGCGCCAUCCCAUACGGCGCGACUGGAGGGCUGCAGAGGUCGGUGGAAUUCCCGGUGUAGUGGUGAAAUGCGUAGAUAUCGGAAGGAACAUCAGUGGCGAAAGCGACUUCCUGGACCAAUACUGACGCUCAUGUGCGAAAGCCGUGGGGAGCAAACAGG
rnacentral:rRNA from 1 species